AAAAGGGGGAGAAUGUAGAACAGGGGGAGAGCGUGGUUGACAACAGGCAAAUGAACUAAGCAGAGGAUGAUGAGUAGAUGUGAUCGAGAUGUGAAGAACAAAGGGGGAGAAGGUAUAAGAAUUUAAGGGUAAUCAUUAAAUCAUUUUUGAAUGAAUUGUUUUGCAGGAAAUCAAGACUUCAAGACUCCUAGUUGUGUCUAAGUCAUAGAGUCUGUUUUAGGAGUUUUUGAUGUAAGUUUGAGUUUCAAAUUGUAUUUGGAUUACACGCGAGGAGUUCAAUGUUUUGGUGAUGACGAUUGAACUUCAUUUUUCUGUAAAUUGUAAUUUUUAAGUUUGUGUGAGUUUUGUCACGAAAUUGCCAAAGGGGGAGAUUGUUAAGUCGUGUGUGUUGGUAAGUUUCGUGAAGUGAGUCGGAGUCUUGAAGAAUCGGUGCGUGUUGUCGAAGAUCGAAGAAUUCAAGAUUUCGAAGAAGUUGGAAAAUAACUCACACCGUGAAUCACGAUGUCCAGGUAAAGUGUUAAUUCAUGAUUAUGG
rnacentral:lncRNA from 1 species